rnacentral:tRNA from 1 species
GCCUCCUUAGCUCAGCUGGUAGAGCAACUGACUUGUAAUCAGUAGGUCGUUGGUUCGAUUCCGACAGGAGGCU